CUCAGCAUGUGUGGGGCGCCUUGUGGAUGCCAGGGGUGUCCAAAGCAAGUGACAGACAGAACACAGUGGGCCCUGGCGGGUGGUUGGGGGCGGCUUUUGUCCGGGUGUCUGCGGCGUUUCCAUGUGGCUCUGCAGAGACCAGAGUGCAGGAGCGCUGGCGAGGGGUGCGGGCCCGCAGUGGGUGGACGGAGAGGAGAUGGGAGCGCUGGCGAGGGGUGCGGGCCCGCAGUGGGUGGACGGAGAGGAGAUGGGAGCGCUGGCGAGGGGUGCGGGCCCGCAGUGGGCGGACGGAGAGGAGAUGGGAGCGCUGGUGAGGGGUGCGGGCCCGCGGCGGGUGGACGGGGAGGACAUGGGAGCGCUGGCGAGGGGUGCA
rnacentral:lncRNA from 1 species